rnacentral:lncRNA from 1 species
CGAGGGGGUGUCGAUGAUAAGUUGGAGGGUCUGGUGGUUCUGGAGCCGCGCCGUGUACCGCUGAAGGUGAGGUCUCGAGGGGAAGUCUCGAGGGCACGAGCAGUGAUUUUUUUUUCAUUUAGGGGGUUUCAAUUUAUUCCGACCUAAGUAACAAAAAUGCUAGGGUCGCCGUAAUGUAUUCCCUAAGUGUGGGGCGCUGGGGGGGGCUACCCCGCACGAGUGGAGUGAAGAUGGAGGUGGAGGUGCAUGAAGAGUGACGGAUUAUGUUGAUGCUGUCUAUCGUGCUGUCCAGCUCCAACAUCCUCCAAUUUCUUCCCCCGCCCCCUUUUCCGCUCUUUGCUCGUGUAUUAAUUGGAAAUUUAUUCAUUACGUGUUGCCGUACUGACCGUACCGGCCUGUAACAUGUAGCUCCUUCCCCUUCCCCUCCCCACAACGUCAAAUACACAACGGAUGUCGCUCGUGUCGCAAACACCGCGUCAGGAUGUGCGCUUCCUGGCCGCCGGCGCGCGUCACACGGUUGCAGUCACCGACUCCGGCGUCUUUGCGUGGGGUGAUGGCAGCUGGGGCGCACUGGGACUAGGCCACCAGGAGCCCCGGGACUUGCCGUGCAGGCUGGAAGCUUUCUCUUCACCACCGCCACCAGCAGCAGCAGCAGCGACAGCAGGAUCCCCGCCGUGCAGCGCAGCGGCCGAUUCGGUGACUGCAGCGACUGCGGCGGCUGAUUUACCUACUGCGCGGCAUUACCUGCGGUCCCGACUCGGUGACGGCAGCAGCAGCAGCGGUGGCGGUGGCGGAGCCAAUGCCGGGCCGGCAGUAGUGACGGCGGCUAAGGCGGCGGCUCCUGCUCCGCCGCCGCCAGUGAUUCAGCGGGUUGCGUGCGGCACACAGCACACCUUGUUUCUAGCGCAGGAUGGGACAGUGUACUGGUGCGGUACGAUGGAAUUUGGAGGCGGCGGCGCCGCCGGUGAUGACGUCAGCGACGGCAGUCGUGUGGUGCGCUCCCUGGUACCGCGGCGGCUGAAACUGGUGUCAGGACGGGGAGGUGGCGGCGGCGGCAGGUGCGGCAAGUUGGGGGAGCCCCCAGCAGCCGCCGCCGGUGCCCCCGCCGCUGUCUUCGACGUCGUCGCGCGUGGCGCCAGCAGCGCCAUGCUCAUGUGCAGCCCGCGUGAACUCCCCCAGGUAGACGUCGGUUGAAGUGGUUCGUUGGCUAGCUAAACUCCCAACCCCACCAACAACCCAGCCCCCAGAUGCUCCCCCCCAUACACUUCUGCGCUUAUUUUAGUCUUGGCGGCUAGGUAGGUAGUUUUCCGACAUCUUCUUCACUAUGUCAUCCCGAGGCCACUUCCUGUAAGAACGCCUUUUGGUCAGUUCUACGUCUGGUACACUCUUGCCCUGGCAGCAGCUUCACUCGUUCGUGGUUCGUCUUUCCCCCCAUAUAUACACACACACACGGGUAACAUUACUUGCAUCACCGUCGCCGCCACCACCACCACCACCAACAUCAUGUUGUCCAUGUCCCUCUGUCCACCUGCGCCAACCACCUGCGGGUGGCAGGUUCUCCACCCGCCAGGUGGCCCUCGUCUGCUCGACAAGCUGCGGGGCGCGGUGAGGCGGGCGGCACUAGCCCGCACCCGGGCGGGACUAUCAGACGGGGGAGGAGG